UACGGAGGAUGCGAGCGUUAUCCGGAUUUAUUGGGUUUAAAGGGUGCGUAGGCGAGCUUUUAAGUCAGCGGUAAAAAUUCGGGGCUCAACCCCGUCCGGCCGUUGAAACUGGGGGUCUUGAGUGGGCGAGAAGAAGGCGGAAUGCGUGGUGUAGCGGUGAAAUGCAUAGAUAUCACGCAGAACCCCGAUUGCGAAGGCAGCCUUCCGGCGCCCUACUGACGCUGAGGCACGAAAGUGCGGGGAUCGGACAGG
rnacentral:rRNA from 1 species